rnacentral:lncRNA from 1 species
UUUUUUUUUUUCCUUUUUACGUGAAAACAAUAACCUUUACCAAAUGGGACCUUUUUACUGAUUUCCAAUUUUAUCCAAUAGUGAAAAUAAUAAUCCAAUAAUAAUUAAUCCCAUCCCAAUAAUUAUUAUUCCAAAAUAAUAAUAUUAUUAAUCCAAACUUCUAAUUAUUCAAUUAAAUUAAUAAAUAAAAUAUUAAUUUAAAUUAAAUAAUUAGCUUAUUUUAAUUGGGGUGUUACAAGAGCCACACAUAUGAAAAAACUAGCAAAAUGUUUUAAUGAUGAGAUAUCAUUUUAAUGCACUUGUUCCCCAUUACUUUUGCAACUGUUCCAUGGCCUUCCUGCUUCACGCUAUGAUUGAACAUAACUCCUAGAGGCCGACCACGAUUGUGAAUGACUUAUCAACCGGUACGCAUCUGUCAAGCCUUGGGGCAACUAUUCUAAGUCAUCCAAAGGCCCAACAUGAAUGCCCAAUUAUGUGUAAGCCCAGUAGAAAGGAUCCAAGGUUUUUAGUCAACACAUGUUAGAUCCAAGGUACACUUUUUUACUUUUAACUAUACUUAUCUUGGAUUCUAUAAUUGACUUGAACAUUAGAGUGCUAACCUCAAAGGUCCACCCGCACCACCGUACUACAUAUCAUAAUCACUAAUUCAAAGUCUCAUGUCAUCAAUCAACAUCAGUUUUGCUUUCAUAACGAGUUGGCUUGAGUAGCAAGCAACUUAAUGUUACUCUAAAUAGACGAAUGGACAUGAUACACAGUAGACUUUUCCUUUCUAAAAACCCUGAGCUUGGGGGAGAAAUUCUAAGAAGUGUCAGUUUGCAAGAAGUUCCAACAAAACUUAAGGUUUGCAACUUCAUUAAUUUGAACAAGAGAUCUAACAUUCAACCAUAUUUCAUUAAAGGUUGACAGACUUUAUGCCAAGCAAUAAUCACCAUUUUCCUAGAGAUAAGUUCUCUACUCCAAAUAAAAUUUCUCAUAUACUUCUCUAAAUCCUUGAUGAGACAGACACACCAAGAGUAAACUGAGAUAGAGUGAAUGAGCAUACCUUGAAUGACACUUCUAACUAGUUAAGUCCUUCCAAUAAUGGAUAGAAGAGCAACCUUCUAAGUAGAAAGUUUGAAUUUGAUUUUGUCCACUAGAGAGGAAGAGCAACCUUCCAAGUAGAAAGUUUGGAUUUGAUUUUGUCCACUAAAGACUGAAAAUGAAUAACUUUAGGUUCGCCCUUGAAGAUAAGAACACCUAAAUAAUCAAAAGGAAAGAAACCAACUUUAUAUCCCAUACAAGAGUUGAAGUGCAGGGCUCUAUACUGAUGCAUGUCAUAUGUGUAAAUGAUGGACUUCAGAGAGUUAACCACUUCACAUAUGUGUAAAUGGUGGUCUUCAUAGAGUUAACCACCAGACCAGAUAUGUUAACAUACAUGUUAAAGAGAUUACAGAUAACAAUGAUAUUGGAAUUAACACUUUACAAAAAAAAAUCAUCACAUCGUCAACAUAAAGGAUUGAAAAAUAAACGUGACUCAGAUCAAAUUUAAUUUCGAAAGAAAAAUAAAUAUGGAUUAGAAAAUUCAAAGGUUAACUUUUUUUCUUAAAAUCAAAUUUGUGUAAACGUUUAUAGAUUUUUAAAACCAUUUUAAUUAAAAAUUAUUUUGACAAUGAGAUAAAGAUAAAUUCAAAGAUACAGAGUAAGAGUGAAAGAUUUCUAUAAAAAAACAAUAUUUUAAAAUUUUAAAAUUUUAAUUUUUAUAUCACAUAAAUAAUUUUGUAUUAUUUUAUUAUAAACAUUCAUUGAAUUCAAAAUAUUUAUUAACUCUUUAAUAAAUUAAAUUAAUUUAUCAAUUAGUUUUUUGGAUUAAUUAUUAUGCAUCGUCAAUGUAAAAAAUUUUACACGGUCGAUUCAUCACCAUCACCCGUUUGCAUUAUUUUAUAGGUGUUUAAAAUAAAAGUCAAACAUGUUCCAAUAUCCAACGUCUAUGAUUAACUGAUUGUAUAAAAUUGCACUGUCAGCGUAUUUUAAUUAAAUUCUUAAUUUUUUAUAUAAUAGAUAAAUUAUUUAAGAGAAAAAUGAAUAUACACCGACAAUAUGAAAUAUUUUUACACUUUCAAUCAAUGAGAGAAGUGUAUCCGUAACAUCAUACUUUUAUUUUUAAAAUACUGUUAUAAUUUAGCAAUGCGAUUAAAGAUAAUGCACUCCGAGUAUAAAUUAAUCUAUACCAACAUACAAUAAAAUUAUAAUAUUCUGGAGAUUAAUUAAUAUGUACUGUCAGCGUAAAAAGAUUUACACGUUCAAUUCAUUACCAUCACCCGCUUGUAUUACUUUAUAGGUUUUUAAAAUAAAAGUCAAAUUUAUUUCAAUAUCCAACGUCUAAGAUUAACUAACGGAUGUAAAAUUCUUUUAUAUUGUCAGUGUAUUUCAAUUAAAUCCAAUAUUCUGUCAUACCAUAUCAACAUUUUAAAAUUGAAGGUAUCAUUGAUUGAAAUCUAGCCACAUAAAAUAUGUUUUUUUUUUGUAAACUCUUCUUCAUUACAACACUACUAAACUCAUUAUUUAAUAGAUGAAUUGAAUAGAUAAUACUUUAGCAAAUUCAAUUAUAACCCCUAACUUUUUCUUAUUUUGUUUGAUCUAACACAUUGGAUUUGGGAGAGAGAGAGAGUGCACGUGACUUUUGUUAUUGUUAGGUACUUUCAAUAUCUACUAAGAUUUCAAGAAACACUUCUCUUUACCUUAACGCCUCCACCACCAAACCCCACAACACAGUGUCUUCGUCAUACAUUUUAUUCGACAGAAUCAUCAACAACAAAAAAAACAACAAAGUUAACCUUAAAAAUAUAAUAUUUUCACCAUUUUUAAAUUUUAAUUCCAAAAUUUAUCAGAUUCUAAGGUAUCAUUCCUUUUCCUUAUUUUUUCUGUAUACUUUUUUUUGGUCUACAAAAUUCACUUUCCCUUCUUAUUUAUUUAUUUAUUUAUUAUAUAUUAUUAUUAUUGUUGUUGUUUUUGCAGUGUUUGGUUUUUCAUAUAAGCCUUUCAAGAUCUCACGGGGCAUGAUCAGAACCUAAAGACAACCUUUUUUCCAUAUAAACACUCUCUUCUCACGACCCUGACAUUGAAGGGUUGUCUCUGAUUCUCUUUCUCUUUCGAUCGAGUUUGAGUUUUUUUUGUUUUUGUUUUUGCCACCUUUAAGGUUUUGGUCGGAAAGUUUAGAUUUUUCACACACCCUUUUAACUCUAAGCCAUGAUUUCCUCGUUGAGACAACCUAGUAUUUCGAUCAGUGGUUCCGAUGUUGUUUUAAGGAACAGACAUGCAACCCUAAUUCAGCUACGACCACAAUCGUUUUCACCUUUCUCGUCAAGAGAGAAAUCACAGAGAUCUGUUGUUUCAACGAAGAAGCCUCUUCAUCUUGCAUGUCUUGGUGUUGGAAAUUUUGGGUCUGUGAAGAAUUUUGAGUCCGAGGCGAGUUUUGGGCAAAGUGAUUUGGUGAAGUGUGGGGCUUAUGAGGCUGAUAGAUCAGAGGUUGAAGGUGGUGAUGGAACACCAUCAGAGGCUGCUAAGAAGGUGAAAAUUGGGAUAUAUUUUGCGACUUGGUGGGCUUUGAAUGUUGUGUUUAAUAUUUAUAACAAGAAGGUUUUGAAUGCGUAUCCUUACCCUUGGCUUACUUCGACUCUUUCGCUGGCUUGUGGCUCUCUUAUGAUGUUGAUCUCUUGGGCUACUAGGAUUGCUGAAGCUCCUAAGACUGAUCUUGAGUUUUGGAAGACUUUGUUCCCUGUAAGCCUUUGAUUUUGUUUUUUUGUUUGUUUCUUUGGAGAAUAAAAUGAUAAUGGUCUGAAUUGAAAGGUUUGUUUUGUUUGCUUAUGCAAUUGUUUUGUUCCUAAUUGAUCUAUGAAACACGGACCUGACAUGACACUGACACGUCGACAUUGGUAAUAAUUUGAAAAUAUUGACCGUUUUCACUAGUGUGUGUCGGGUCGGUGGUGUCUGAUAGACCUUUUCUAAAAGUUCUUACAAGUGUCGGUGUUGGUGUCUGACAUACCUUUUCUCAGAGGUGUUGGUGCUGGUGGUGUUUGCCUGACCUUUUUUUUCUGAGAUGUUGGUGCCACGGAGAAAUUGUUUGUCUUUUUGCAAUUGUGAACAUACACACACAUCUGGAUGAUAACUAUGUUGGUUGAGUUCAGAAAAAACAAAAUAGUGAAGAUUUUGCUCACUUCAUUCAAUUUUUAUACUACAUAUGCAUAUUGAAUUGAUGUUGUCGAACGCGGCUAUAGCGAAGUAGCAUUGAACAAAUCACUAUUGUUAGCAAAGUUAUCUUAAAUUGCGGCUAUACCGGGGUUAUAGCGCUGCAGCGUUAUUUUCAAUCAUUUUGAAUGCAUAGUGACUUUAGUCUUUGAUGUUUCGACUACAGGUUGCUGUUGCACACACGAUUGGACAUGUAGCGGCUACGGUUAGUAUGUCCAAAGUUGCGGUAUCAUUUACGCAUAUCAUUAAGAGUGGCGAGCCUGCUUUUAGUGUUCUCGUUUCGAGGUUUAUUUUGGGCGAGACCUUCCCUGUGCCGGUCUAUCUGUCUUUACUUCCGAUUAUUGGUGGAUGUGCACUUGCUGCUGUGACCGAGCUCAAUUUCAAUAUGAUCGGUAACAAACUCGUCUGAUUAUUUGUGUUGGAAUGUGUUUCUCGUCAUUUUGCUACAAGCUAUUCUGAAUUAGUGCUCUCCGUCUUUGAUUUUAUCGGGUUUUUUUUUGUUUUGUUUUGUUUUUCAGGUUUUAUGGGGGCUAUGAUAUCAAAUCUGGCAUUUGUGUUCCGAAAUAUCUUUUCCAAAAAGGGGAUGAAGGGAAAAUCCGUUAGCGGAAUGAAUUACUAUGCCUGUUUAUCUAUUUUGUCCCUUGCAAUUCUCACACCCUUUGCAAUCGCCGUGGAAGGACCAGCAAUGUGGGCUGCCGGAUGGCAAACAGCUCUCUCUGAAAUCGGACCCCAAUUCAUAUGGUAAUUACAAGACGAAUACCCGGUUUGAUGUUAUCCCUAUUAUUUAUGUUAUUAACAUGGCUGUGUUCGUGUUCAUCUAAAUCUGUAUGCAUCAUCUCCUUUGAAUGGCUUAUACAAGCUUAUUCAUAAGCACUUAUUUUUAUAAGCGCUUGUGCUAUAAGCUGUGUAUCCAAAGAGGUCCUAUAUCUUUUGCCUGUCUGAUCUAAUCUAGUGAGAGAAUGCGAAAGUAGUGUAUAUGGUUUAAAUCAUUGAUUCAUUUGAUUUUCAAACACACACAUAACAUCGGUAUGAAAGGUCGAAUGGACCUAAAGAACUACAGCAUUCAAUUUUUGUUAUGUGAUUAUGACAGAAUUAAUGCUACAUUAUACAUGAAAAAUGUUCUUUUGUGACAAAACCGAGUUUGUUUGUUUUUCUGAUUAUGUAAUUUGUUUACUCACCUCUGUUUAUCAUUUUGUUCGGAAAAAGCACGAUCUCUCGAUGUUAUGACUAAAACUAUGACUGAUAAAUGUAUGCAACAGGUGGGUAGCAGCUCAGAGUAUAUUCUAUCAUCUAUACAAUCAGGUGUCUUACAUGUCGUUGGAUGAGAUCUCUCCUUUGACGUUUAGCAUUGGAAACACCAUGAAACGUAUAUCGGUCAUAGUCUCUUCAAUUAUCAUCUUCCACACACCAAUUCAGCCCGUCAAUGCUCUCGGAGCCGCAAUUGCCGUAUUUGGAACCUUCUUAUACUCACAGGUAUGCUCAUCAUUUUUUAUUUUGAUAUAUAGCACCGACACUUCAAAUUAAAGGCGUGUCUGACGUCUGAUAUUGUGUCAAUAUGUCACCGACACAUAUGGUUACAUUCAAUCACUUUAUUUUUAUGGUUACAUUCAAUCACUUUAUUUUCUUAAUUUACUAUCGUUGUCUACAUGUCUGCUUUGUGUCUGGUGUUCGAGUCUAUCUUGAUGCGCAAUAUGCCCCUCAUUGUGAAUUUCUAAUCACACUUUUUCCUAUCUAAUGGUUCUUAUAUGAAGUUAGGUGAAUCAAUGCCACUAACUCUAUUGGUUUGAAGACCUUCCACCAAAUAUUCUUUUUCCAAGUCAAUGUCAACAUGAGUUGGCUUUACCUUCUUUAGAUUCCAUAUUGACUGCACCAAAAUUCUUUGAACACAUGCUUUGGUUCAUACCCUUACAUUGAGGUUUCUAAUAGUAGCUUCAAAGCUGGUGAACCACUAAAAAUAGGUAUCAUGUGGGACCUUGAAAAAUAGAGAAAAAGGAGAAGAAACAAAAGAGGGUUAGAAACGAUUUAGAAUAUUGAUUAGAUUCUUUAAAGAUUAAUGUGUUCUUUUAAUACAAAAAAAUGUAUAUUAUGGGAGGCACGCAAGCUCGGUAGAACCAUCAAACUUCAUUGAUGAUUUACCAUCUUAGAGUAGGCGUGCCGCUGUGUCUGACAUUGCAUGACACCCGUACAACAUGUCAGAAAAGUCAGACGAGUGUCAGAAAAAUCAAAGAAGUCUUGAAAAAAAUGGUUUUUUUUUGGUUGACACUUUGAAACGAAGUCAUGCACUCGUCCGUACUUCAUAGUUUACAAAGCACGGUAGAACCAAUCUUUGUCAACCACGCAGUUUCACCCCUUUUUAAGUGGAAUGUCGCAUGUUUAAACCCGCGUCAAUGCAAUCGCAUGUACACCUACCGACUGACUUAUCGCAACAAUUUUUUAUUUAUAUUUGUAGAUAAUAUUUUUGAUUGGUUCAUAUACUUAUUGUAAUUUUACUGACUUUUGCAGGCAAAACAAUAGAGUUGAGGAAUAAAGAAAUCCUCAUUUUCAAACCUACAGUUGAUUUUGGAACAUUUGGCUGCCGGAUUUUUGUAUGACUAGGAUGAUCUGGCUUUUUGUGCAUCUGUAGAUAAUAAAUAAAUAAUAAGAAUCAGAAUAAUGCUACUGAGAAAUAUUAUCCUUAAACAGAUGAUUAGUGAGUUUCUUUGUUUAUUUUUUUUUAGUUUCUGAAAUGCCAAUGAAUUUCAAUAAAUGUUCCUGUUUAUAUAGUAUGAGAAUAAUAACUUCUCAAAACAAUGUUCACUAUAAGGAGUUUGUUUUAUUUAUAAUAUGUUAUGUGUUUGAUCCAUUUAAUGUUUUUUUUAGUGAUUGGUGAAGAUGCAAAUUGGGAUUUAAAUAUUAAUGAUUUUAUUUGUUUUGUUUAUGCUUAGAAAGUUAGAAGACAUGCAUUUUGUUUAAGUGAUUGAGACCCUUUCAUUUUUAUGCUCUUUGGACCCUUUCUAAGUUUCCAUGUGAACUUUGUCUUUUGAGAAAACAACUUUUCACUUUUAUGAAGGACAUGAUAUUUUCUUAAUUGUUGAUAAAUGCAUUCUUAAUUCAAUAGUACUUUCUAAUUUAUUUGAUAAAUGGUUUCUCUUCAAGGGGAUUUUUUUUGGACAAAUCAAUCAAAUGCAAAUUAUGAUUUUUAAUAUUAAAUUUGACUAUGAAAAAUCUAAAUAAAAAAAUACUAUUUAAAUGUGUACCACUUUGUCGUAAAAAAGUGUAUAGCUUUAUUUAAUUUUAGAAUUUAAUUAAUAAACAAUUAUUUUAAAUUCAAAUAAUAAAUUUUAGUCAAUGGUUUGAGUUUGAAUUCUUUUGAAAGUUUCAUACAUUUUUAUACAAUUAUUUUUUAAGAUAUUUGUCUCACUUUAUUCAAUAAUAAUGUAAAUGAUAAAAAAAUUGUUUUUAUAUAAAUCAAAUAUCUUGAUAAAGUUUGUUAAAAGCAAAAUUGCUCAUUAAAAUUAAAAUGACUAUUUUCUUUUAAGAUUAUGCUUUAAUUAUUUCUUUUGAAAAAUGUGUAAGUAGUUUAUUAAAAUAAUAAUUGAAGAGUCUCGUUAAAUCAAUUUAAUUGAUAGUUGUGCAGAAACAUCAAAUAGAAUAAAUUUAUCUGUGAAAAACAAAGGAAAAAUUCUCUUCUUUUUUUUAUUAAAAAAAGAAACCUUAAUUUUAUGAAGCACUUCUUUUAUGGCUCUUGAAACUACUUUAAAUAUUUGCAAUUAAAUUAUUAGAAAUGAUCAUAAACAAUAAUUAUAAGUAAUUAAAAAUAUAAAAGCUCUUUUUUUUUGAGUUAAUAAUAUGUUUUUGUUUCCUAAAAGAAUAACAAAUUUCUAAAUUAAAAUUUAUUAUAAUAUUACAGUUUGCAAGAAUAAGUUGUAUUUGAAAAUUACUUUACAAAAAAUCAUGUUUAAUCUUCAAAAUAUUAUUAUAAAAUGUAAAUUAAAGAUUAAAAAUAAAUAGUUUUUUUGAAAAAUAAAUGUGAAAGAUCAUGACUUUGGAAAAAUUUAAAAUAUUUUAAAUUAAUUACAUUUUGAUCCCCUUCACAAAAUUAAUUAUCUAUUAUAAAUUCAAAUAGUUUUAGUCUCUUAUCAUUUUUGCACUUCAAAUUAACAACAUACUCAUUUUUAAAUGAGUGUUAUUUCUGAAACAUGAUAAAUUAUUUUGAAACAUAAUAAAUUAUUAUAUAAGAUUUUUUUUAAUAAAAUUUUAUGGAUAAAAACUUAAGUUAAAAAAUAAAUAUCUAAUCAAUUUUCAGUAUAUAAAAAUAAGAGGAGACCAAAUUCGAAAGACUAAUUUCGUAAAUCAUAUAAAAACAGAAACAACAAAAUUAUAAUUAAAUCAAAUAUUUUUAAAUUUGUUUAUUAAUUUAAUAAGUUAAUUAUUAGAAUUUUACAUAAUUUAUAAAUAAGUUACAUGUUGCGGAAAUGAAAUAAUAAAUAUGGAAGAGGAAAAGAAAGUGAGAGAGAGAAUUGCACCAGUUUCAUGGAGACUAUGUAUGAAGUUACUGCCACAAGAUGGAUAGAGCAAGAAAAAAGACCCGAAUCUAAUAUUUGUAUAAAGUAUUCUUUAAUAGAGCGCCCUCUCUAUUUCUCC